GCCAGGGUGGCAUAGUGGUUUGAGCGGUGGACUGGGACUCUGGAGGCCAGGGUUCGAAUCCUGCCUCAGCC